rnacentral:lncRNA from 1 species
GCUUACUAGAAACUUAUAGUUAUUUGGGAGAGGUUCAUUGGUGUGUACAAUGGAGUGGAAAGAAGAAUCAAACUCAUACAAGUGUAAUGAAUUUACAGACUACUGAAAGGAGAAUGAAAGAUCAGAAGGAAAUGUGGAAGUGUACUCAAGUAAUAACUUGUGAUACACCCGAGACACAAAUAGGACUAGUACCUGUCAGGGUUCUACUGAAAUGGGGAUGUGAGUGUAGGGGAUAUAAUCAUACUAUCAGAGAAGCAAGUGGGAAACGGAUUAUUUGUUGCAAAUCUACCACAAUAAGAAGUCCAGGAAAUUUAGUAUGGGUAAUGGGGCAUGGGGAAUGGACUACUCACAUACCUAUCGAUGGACCAGUUACUCAAAUUACGUUAGGAAUCCCAACCUUAUGCCCACUGUGGAAACAAUCGGAAUUGAAGGGAAAAGUUAAGAGAGAUUUAGAUGAGAAGGACCAAUGGCAUGAACCAGAAAGUGGAGUAAAAUUUGGGUGGGCAUUAGAAUCCCUCUUUUCACCAGUUGCAGCUUAUCGGAACAGAGACAUGCUUUAUAAGCUAAUGGGACAGACAGAAAGGUUAGCAGCCACUACUAGGAAAGGGUUUAGAGAUUUAAAUCUCCAAUUACAAGCCACUAGUAGAAUGGCUUUACAAAAUCGGAUGGCACUAGACCUAAUAUUACUAAAAGAACAUGGAGUAUGCGGCUACUUAAGUCAGAAAAUUGACCAUUGCUGUAUCCAUAUCCCAAAUGUACCGGUCAGCGUAGAACAAGACAUAUCCCAAUUGGAAAGGGUGGAAGACGAAACUCGGGGAUUAGAACGUCAGGCAGAACAUAAUUGGAUUGGGGAAAUAUUCAGUUCUAUGGGGCUCCAGGUCUCUGGAUGGAUCUCGUCAAUAAUCCAAUAUUCAAUAAUGUUUGUAAUCCUAAUUUUAAUUGUGCUAGGAACUUAUAGGUGUUUCCUAGGAGCCAUUAGCAAAGAACGCUCUCACACGCGAAGACUGAUUAACGCGAUGACAAGGAGCACGACACCCCC